rnacentral:rRNA from 1 species
GACGAACGCUGGCGGCGUGCCUAAUACAUGCAAGUAGAACGAGUUGCGAACGGGUGAGUAACGCGUGGUAACCUGCCUCAUAGCGGGGGAUAACUAUUGGAAACGAUAGCUAAUACCGCAUACUGUGAGAUGGACCUGCGUGGUAUUAGCGAGUAGGUGGGGUAACGGCUCACCUAGGCGAAGAUCCCUAGCUGGUCUGAGAGGUGGACCAGCAACACGGGAACUGAGAAACGGUCCAGACUCUUACGGGAGGCAGCAGUGGGGAAGAUUGCACAAUGGGCGAAAGCCUGAUCCAGCCAUGCCGCUGGUGUGAAGAAGGCCUUCGGGUUGUAAAGCACUUUCAGCGGGGAGGCGUUACCCUCAGAAGAAGCACCGGCUAACUCCGUGCCAGCAGCCGCGGUAAUUC